AUGGUAUGUGGAGACAGUGUGACUCCUGACAAGGAGGAGUACACCCCCACUGAGGGAUCAUCAGUGUCUCUGAGAUGUACAUAUGAAACAAGCAGCAGUAACAUCUACCUUUACUGGUACCAACAAUACCCUAACCAGAAAACUAUCCGCAUCAAGCAAUGCAGCAACAGAAUCCAGAAACCAAGGCUGAGAUCUGAUCUGGUUUUUAUGUUCCACAUGGAGAACUCUCUGAUACUGGUUCUCAUUCUAGCCUCAGGACAUAUUGCUGGGGAUCACAUUACUCCUGUAAAUAAUGAAGUGAUCAGAACAGAAGGAGAACUUGUGACUCUAAGAUGCUCAUAUGACACAAGCAGUGAAUAUCCUUGGCUUUACUGGUACCGGCAUUAUUCUAACCAGGCUCCUCAGUUUCUACUGUAUAAAGGUGCCAGAUCAUUGAGCGAUGAAGAACAUAUCCCUGAUAAGAGAUAUAACUCCACAACAUCCCAGACAUCAACUGAACUGGUGAUAACAAGCGUAACCCUGGCAGACACAGCUCUCUACUACUGUGCUCUUGGCACAGUGAUAAAAAGUGUAUAAUACACUGUACAAAAACCUGCAGACCAAAAAGCUUUGAUGAAGUGGAAUUCAUAAUUAACCAUCAACCACAUUUGAUGUCAUAAUGGCAGAAGUUGAGAUCAGAGAAAUGUGGUCACACCUGUGCUGUGUUCAAUCACCAGGUGGUCUGGUGUUUCUCUGUCGUCAUAUUCAAUGCACUGUGAGAAAUAUCUAUUCUUCACUCUUCAAUCAGUAGUCUUCAAUUUCACUUACCGUAGGCAGUUUUUUUAUAUAUUGGUUGGAUAAUCACUUUGGAAUAUGACCAUGUGCAUCAGAGGAUGCCAUACAGACAAACACCUCCCCAUGGUCUACUACUGCAUGUAAUCUGUCUCUUUCUGCAUAUUUGUUAAUUUAAUUUGUAGUGAUGUAAUUUGUAAUGAUGUAAUGGUCGUAGAAGGACAACCAACAACACUCACUUUUCUGUUUGAUACAAUGUCUCAAUCACCAUAUCUCUUCUGGUACAAACAACUAGCAAAUAUCAACUCCAUGUUUAUGCUGAGAAGAAAUGU